GACGAACGCUGGCGGCGUGCCUAAUACAUGCAAGUUGAGCGCUGAAGGUUGGUACUUGUACCAACUGGAUGAGCAGCGAACGGGUGAGUAACGCGUGGGGAAUCUGCCUUUGAGCGGGGGACAACAUUUGGAAACGAAUGCUAAUACCGCAUAAAAACUUUAAACACAAGUUUUAAGUUUGAAAGAUGCAAUUGCAUCACUCAAAGAUGAUCCCGCGUUGUAUUAGCUAGUUGGUGAGGUAAAGGCUCACCAAGGCGAUGAUACAUAGCCGACCUGAGAGGGUGAUCGGCCACAUUGGGACUGAGACACGGCCCAAACUCCUGCGGGAGGCAGCAGUAGGGAAUCUUCGGCAAUGGACGAAAGUCUGACCGAGCAACGCCGCGUGAGUGAAGAAGGGUUUCGGAUCGUAAAACUCUGUUGGUAGAGAAGAACGUUGGUGAGAGUGGAAAGCUCAUCAAGUGACGGUAACUACCCAGAAAGGGACGGCUAACUACGUG
rnacentral:rRNA from 1 species